CGGGGUGCACCAGGCGCGAAACCUCUGCAAUAGGCGAAAGCCUGACAGGGUUACUCUGAGUGAUUUCCGUUAAGGAGAUCUUUUGGCACCUCUAAAAAUGGUGCAGAAUAAGGGGUGGGCAAGUCUGGUGUCAGCCGCCGCGGUAAUACCAGCACCCCGAGUGGUCGGGACGUUUAUUGGGCCUAAAGCAUCCGUAGCCGGUUCUACAAGUCUUCCGUUAAAUCCACCUGCUUAACAGAUGGGCUGCGGAAGAUACUAUAGAGCUAGGAGGCGGGAGAGGCAAGCGGUACUCGAUGGGUAGGGGUAAAAUCCGUUGAUCCAUUGAAGACCACCAGUGGCGAAGGCGGCUUACCAGAACGCGCUCGACGGUGAGGGAUGAAAGCUGGGGGAGCAAACCGGAUUAGAUACCCGGGUAGUCCCAGCUGUAAACGAUGCAGACUCGGUGAUGAGUUGGCUUUAUGCCAACUCAGUGCCGCAGGGAAGCCGUUAAGUUUGCCGCCUGGGGAGUACGGCCGCAAGACUGAAACUUAAAGGAAUUGGCGGGGGAG
rnacentral:rRNA from 1 species